UCGGGUUGUAAAGCACUUUUGUCCGGAAAGAAAACUUCGGGGCUGAUACCUCUGGAGGAUGACGGUACCGGAAGAAUAAGCACCGGCUAACUACGUGCCAGCAGCGCGGUAAUCGUAGGGUGCGAGCGUUAAUCGGAAUUACUGGGCGUAAAGCGUGCGCAGGCGGUCUGUUAAGACAGAUGUGAAAUCCCCGGGCUUAACCUGGGAACUGCAUUUGUGACUGGCAGGCUAGAGUAUGGCAGAGGGGGGUAGAAUUCCACGUGUAGCAGUGAAAUGCGUAGAGAUGUGGAGGAAUACCGAUGGCGAAGGCAGCCCCCUGGGCCAAUACUGACGCUCAUGCACGAAAGCGUGGGGAGCAAACAGGAUUAGAUACCCUGGUAGUCCACGCCCUAAACGAUGUCAACUAGUUGUUGGGGAUUCAUUUCCUUAGUAACGUAGCUAACGCGUGAAGUUGACCGCCUGGGGAGUACGGUCGCAAGAUUAAAACUCAAAGGAAUUGACGGGGACCCGCACAAGCGGUGGAUGGAUGUGGAUUAAUUCGAUGCAACGCAAAAAACCUUACCUACCCUUGACAUGGUCGGAACCCUGGUG
rnacentral:rRNA from 1 species